GUCUUCUCUUGAUACUCCUGAUGUGUGUAACUUCAAAUGUAAGUGAAGAAAGUUUAAGUAAAUGCUGAAUUGUUCCAUGAAACAGUUAACAUGUGCAAUAUGCCUGUUUGACACAUUUUUACCUAAUCUUAUCAGACUGUGUGUCCCAAUAGUUGUUGACUGGUAAAUGUGUCAGCAGGAGUGAGAAUGUCAAUACCGGCAUUAGAAAACAAAAAAGACAUAAGAAGUUCCUGAAAGAGUCCCACAAGGGGAGAUUCCAAACUUAAAGCAGUAUAGUGUAGAUACAAAAAGAGAAAAAUUAAUAAAUAAACUUUGAGUUAAAAAAAAAAGAUGUACGCAUGCAUCAUAUUUACAUCUGUACAGAAUUCACAUAAUAAUAGGAUAAUAGGAUUUAUAAGCCAUCCUGUGGCUUUUGAAUGUGCUGGACUUCUGGAAUUUCUAGCUGUAUUUGAUAAAUAAAUUUGCACCUUUUUACUCCAGUACAAUUAUCUGGGAGGAAUAUUUUCCUUUUUCCAGGUUUCACAUGCAAAUCCUUAAUACCUGAUACAAUUUAAAUAACAGAUUAUACAUCAAGCUACCAAGUAGUAAGGAAUAAACUGUAUGAACAAAAAAGAUUAAGCAAUAUAUAAAUAUGUGUUUUCUUAUUGCAGUUUUCCAGAUAACACAGUAUCAAAAUAAUCUUAUAUUUCAAUUAUCUUUAAUUUUAAGUAUGAGAAAGAAGAUAAAUGAAUAAAAUGUAUAAAAAUAAAACAGUUGGUGCUGCAGUUUUACACAUAAUCGAUGGCUAGCUUUCAAUGCCCAGAAGCAUGGUGACACUUUAUUUUAUUGCAUUGUAUUUUAUUGUUUUUUUUUUAUUACUUGCUUUUUAGUGUUUGUAUUUAUUCAUUUUUAUUUUCUAUGUAUUGCGAAGUACUUUGGCUCACCAAGAGGGUUUUUGUAAAGGGCUAUAUACAUAGAGAACAUUUACAUUAUUGUAGUUUAUUAAAAAGUUAAAUUCUUUCACUCUUAAUAAAUCAUCUUUAUAUGGUAAGUAUGCUUCUUACUGUUUGAUUAUGAAGCAACAUGUAAAUAUGUUUUCAAUUGCAGUUUUCAAGAUAACACAGUAUCAAAAUAAUCUCAUACUUCAACUAUCUUUCAUUGUAAACACGAGAAAGAAUGGAAGAUAAAUGAAUAAAUUAUAUAAACACAAACAAAACAGUUUGUGCUGCAGUUUUACACAUAAUCUUAGUUUUGGCUAAUUAUAUUUAAAAAGUUAUUUCUUUAACUCUUAAUAAAUCAUCUAUAUAUGGAAAUUAUGCUUCUUACUGUUUGAUUAUUUCUUCCUCUCUGUUGAUCAUAAGGUAACAACAAAUUCCGACUAUCUGAACUGUGAGGUUCGCUUUGCGGUGGUGUUUGUCCCAUCCCAGCCACCGUAGGCUACACGUAGAUGAAGAAGUGCACAGCCAGCUAACCAGCAGCACCUCCUCUGAAGCUAAAAAUGUCUUUUACUUUGUACUCUCUCAUUCAAGCUGCUAUCUUGUGCGUCAAUGCCGUCGCAGUAUUACAUGAAGAAAGAUUUCUGAGCAAAAGUAAGUGGCGUUAUUUUGAGCUGUGUGCGUUUGUAUGUGGAACAGAGUGGCUAAUGCUAAACAAAUAUAGGGCGACUAAUUAUAAAGUGUUGAUCCAUAAUUUUUACUAAAGUAGAAUUUGUGACAUUAUUAACGUUAUUUAUACCUGAUGUUUAACCAUAAGAGAUCACUGGUAUGUUGAGGUUGUGGGCUGAAAUACAAUCAUGUCUGAAAAUCACUGUAGUUUCUAAACAUUAUAGUUUUCUCAUGAACCUCGUCUCUGUGUUUAUCCGUGUUUAUCCGUGUGUCCGUGGGUUUUCAGUCGGCUGGGGCGUGGACCAAAGUGUUGGAGGUUUCGGGGAUGAACCAGGUAUCAAAGUGCAGAUGAUGAACCUGAUCCGGUCUGUGAGGACAGUGAUGAGAGGUGAGGGUUUACUGUAGUCCACAUUGAGAUAGUUAAAGGUUGAGUUCAAGAUCCUUCUGUUAAUGUAGGAUAUAGGAACGAUUUGCAGUUUCCCUACUUCAGAUUUAAGACAAGACAAACAAAAAGACACAAAUAACUUUUAUGUGGCUCUUAGAGCUCAUGUCAGACUAUGUAGGGGAGACAGGGGUAAGUUGAUCCACCCCCUGUUGCUUGGAAAUGGUCAAAAAAAUUGAUCAUGUGACCAAAUAUUUUGGAGAUGGGCAUCAAUUCAUGGAGUCUGUGAAGGUUAGAAUCACAUGGGUGAAGGGGUUAGACAUUUAUUUACAAAAAAAAACAUUUUUCACUUUUGAAAGUGAAUUUAGUCUGUCAUAAGUUUGAUUAGAAUUGUGUUCAGACCAAAAAAGAUCAUUUGAAAUUUUUUUUAUACAUCAAUUGUGGUAUCUAUGAGCUACAACAUGAGGUCAAAAACCUAGAAUGGUCAACUUAACCCAUACACAGGGUAAGUUGACCAUAGGAGACCACUUUUUUUGGCAUGUUAUUGAUCAAGACAGUUAUGUUUACACUCAUUCUGUUGGUUUGCAGAGAUGAACAACAUCUUAAAAUAUAUGCAGAUACACUAGUUAGAGACAAAACUAUGAUUUCCUUGAUGUAGUGAUCCGAAAUAUGAAAAAUGUCUCAUCUUACCCCACUCUCCCCAAUAAAGUCUUUGGUCCAUGCUGUGUGGGGUUCUAAUAAACCAUCCAGCUGAGACUGAGACUCCUCUUGGCUCUGAUCUGUAAUUUUCUGUCUGUUUCUCUUCGCAGUGCCGUUGAUUGCAGUGAAUACAGUCUGCAUUGUACUGCUGCUUCUCUUUGGAUGACCACAUGAGCCCAUAGAUGGGAUAAACCAGUCUGCUGUCAGAAAACAGUGCCAUGGUUUCAGGGACCCCCCCUUCUGGAGAAACACGCUUCUUUGUCACAGAAAAUAUGGACUGCCAGCUGGACUCUGAACGCUUUCAUUUGAUAACUCCACAUCAGUUCAUUACAUGUUUGUCAUGGCCUGUUUUCCAGCACGAACAAUAUUUCUAAACAACUAGAACGGUUUUCUUCCCCACUUGUUUUUAAAAGUACAUUAAAGUUCUGGUGUCUGAAACUGUGUUUGCUUUUAAUAAAAUUUCACUAAGGAAGCAA